UUAUACGUACGUCCGACAUAUCCGAUACCGACAAGGCUGGACUGGAAACCGCGGACGUGACCAUCAUGGGGGUGACUGUUGCUGUUGUUGUGGCCAUUGCCAUUGCCGAGGCUGCUGCUGUGGUCGUAAUGGCUGUCGCCAUGUUGGUUACUGUGGUUGUUGUUGUUGCCAUAGCCGAUGUGGUCGGAUCAGGAACCUCACUAGUGUAACUAUUUGCUCUGGUAUUGACCAUUAAACCUACUCCAACCUAUAACCUAUACUACUAAUUAAACUUGAUGACAAUUCCAAAUUACCAAAUUCAGCCAACUCAAACUCUAAAUACACUAAUUAUGUCUUCUUCUUUAAACGCAGAUAUGAAAACCAAAAUUCACAAACAAGGUAGAAAGUGUAGUGCAUAUAUCCUACUACAAGGUGGGGAACAAGUGAGAGAAGAGCAAAUCUAAGCGGAUAAGCGAAGCAUUCUAAGUUUCCAAAUAGGACUUCUCCAAACGUAUCCGGAAACUGCUUUCUCUGCCGUAAUGUAUUGUAUGACCCUGAGAUGCUGUAGUAUAUUGGUAUUACGUUUGCUACCUACGGACAUAACCACACGGCUGUUGUUGAAAACAUAAAGAUAAACCCAACAACGUCUCAUGUGCUUUGGCUCAUGGGUAUGAUUGUAUUAAGCGGACGGACAGGCCCGUCGCAAACGAAAUGCGGAUACCAAAAUCCUUAAACUUCGUGACUUACGGGAGUUAAAGAUUAGUAAAACACCGUGCCACAUCCUGCAUCUAACCAGCUUCCAGUCACCACCAGUUUGGCACGCGAUCCAAGCUUUUGAAAACUUACGAUCGGGACUCAAUCCGGUAACCGAAAUCCGAUCAGUUGCUGGCUGUGGCGAUAAAAUGAUGCGGUCAACCCGAUAACUCGGGCCCCAUGUUGCGGGCGCCAUUCUUGUCGUGGACCCCGGAGGGUCCGAACUGUCUCAGCGGAGAAAGGGGACAUAGUGUGCUGGCGAGCGCUGGCUGUUGGCGUUAGAGCUCCGGCUGUGGCUCAGUCUGGGGCGCGGUUCUUGCCAACACACCAUGUCCAGAGACAGGUGACCAAAAAUUCAAAUUUCAAACCAGCUCUGGAUGGAAAUGAAAAACACAGGGUCCCACUUAUGUUAAGGCAGGCAUGUCUUUCGCCUUCUUACUCGCACCUUCCGCUAUGGAUUCGCUCUUCAGGGGGCACUGAGACAUCCUACAGUGCCCUGGACGGCCCACCCCAACCAUGGUAUCCGUUGUCCAACAGUUUUGGAUACCCCAGAAUCGGUCUCCCUUAUCCCCCCCUACAGCUUGGUGCACUACCCCCUUCUUACCUUAAAUAACUACUCCUCCAUUGUGAAAUGAAAACUAGGCAAAGGCGAAUUUCAUUUCAAACGUUAUAAACGGUAUGUAUUUAUUAAGCCAAAUCAAAAAUUCAUUGCCAGACAAAGUUCAAUCAAACGAAAAAGCAAAGAAAACAAAACAAGGAAUUGCAUAGUGGCAAUAAAAAAAAACUUCAAUUAUAUAGACUCCUCUCCUUCAAAGAGAAAAAUAGUAAUAAAAUUCUCCUUCCUCCACAGGUGUAUUGGGUCUUCUCUUGGUGUCUGGCCUUCCUUCAGGGUCGUCUCUCCUAACUGGAGUCAGUGCUGGGGCGGCUGAGCAGUGCCCACGCUUUCCUCUUGUCUGUCCGUCCGUCUGGUUGUGGCCUAAGUUCGCAAAGCGAACACCAACAGCAGUAAGGGCUCCUUUCCGCCCCAAAGGUCUAGAAUCUUUACCCCCUGGCCCUAGGUUGAGCUCGACCUAACAGCUGAGGACAGCGCCUAUUUAUUCUAGCGCUGUGUUACUUAUAGAAAGGAAAUAUGUGUGUCAAGGUCCUGUCCGUCCGUCUAAGUUCACGUAUACGUCCCGCAAUAGUGUUUGUGAGGAAAAGGGUACCUGCAGCACUGUCGGCUGACCAGUGCUUUUGAUAUAGAGCUUCCCACGAUGGACAGAGGAGGUGGAGGUGUAGCUUUAUGUUUUCGCGCUUGGCUUUUUGUUAUUUUGUGAUCAACUUUAGUGGUGUCUAUUGUCUUUGAUUUUCAAGUUUAGGAUUUUUAACUAUUGACUUUGAUUUGGUUUUUAGUUUUUUUUCUUUUCAGGUCUUUUAUUAUUACAUUGGUAUUUCCUUUUUUUUUCAGGUUCUUUGGCUUUGUUUCGAAACUUUUCCCUUUUCAGGUUCCUUUUUAUUUAAUUUGAUAACAUUUCUUUUUUUUUUCCAGAGUUUUCAUAGAUUUUCUUUUUCAGCUUUUAAUAACUUUCAGUUCGAUUUAUUUUAAUCACCUUUUUUUUUCAUAAUCUUCUUUUUCAGCUCUUUAGUUUUCUUAAUUUGUAUUUAUUUUCAUUUAUUUUGUUACAGCUUUUAAAACUUCUCAAUAAUUUAUAGUUAAUUUUUUUCCUCUUUCAGCAAAUGUGCUGAAAGUUCAAUAAAUCACUUUAAAACUUUGAAUUUGGUCUUUUUCUUUGUUGUUGGGUAAAAGCCAGUUCCGCCUCCUUUUCUCUGCCGAAUCCAAAACCAAAAAAAAACCUUCUCUCUUUUUGAAAACACCACUUUCUACACUCCUGAUGACACCACCUCUUACUGCUUGCACGGCUCCAUCCAAAAAGAACUCGUCAUCUUCCCUUUACUGUCCAUCAUGGUUCCCCCAAGCCAUCAUGUCCACCGAGGAACCAUCAUAAAAUUUUGUUUUCCAAAAUAGCAAAAACAAACAACAUAUGGUUUCCUCGAUUUUCAUUGUAGUAGUUACCUUUGUAUGUGGAGGUAACAUAUGCUGGUAUCGCAGGGUUGCAUUCACCAGCUGCCAUAAAAAAAACAGACUGUUCAAACCCAGAUGUCGCUCUUCUCUAAUCAGACAUAGGGUGACACGCUACACUUAUUU